CUGGCUCAGGAUGAACGCUGGCGGCGUGCCUAAUACAUGCAAGUCGAGCGAAGAAAGUAGCAAUACUUUUUUAGCGGCGAACGGGUGAGUAACGCGUUGGUGACCUGCCUCGAAGCGUGGGAUAACGGUUCGAAAGGAUUGCUAAUACCGCAUGUGGUUGUGGAGAUUAGAGGCUCUGCAACUAGAGGAGAAAUUCACUUCGAGAGGGGCCUGCGUCCCAUCAGCUAGUUGGUAAGGUAAAGGCUUACCAAGGCGAUGACGGGUAGGGGACCUGAGAGGGUGGACCCCCACAAUGGAACUGAAACACGGUCCAUACACCUACGGGUGGCAGCAGUAGGGAAUAUUGCAUAAUGGGCGAAAGCCUGAUGCAGCAACGCCGCGUGUGCGAUGAAGGCCUUCGGGUCGUAAAGCACUUUUAGAGAGGAUGAGGAAGGACAGUACUCUCUGAAUAAGCCUCGGCUAACUACGUGCCAGCAGCCGCGGUAAAACGUAGGAGGCGAGCGUUAUCCGGAUUUACUGGGCGUAAAGCGCGUGCAGGCGGUAAGGAAAGUUGGAUGUGAAAGCUCCUGGCUUAACUGGGAGAGGUCGUUCAAAACUACCUAACUAGAGUGUGGGAGAGGGAGGCGGAAUUCCGGGUGUAGUGGUGAAAUGCGUAGAUAUCCGGAGGAACACCAGUGGCGAAAGCGGCCUCCUGGCCCAAGACUGACGCUCAGACGCGAAAGCUAGGGUAGCAAACGGGAUUAGAGACCCCGGUAGUCCUAGCUGUAAACGAUGUGGACUUGGCGUCGGCGGGUUUAAAUCCGUCGGUGUCAAAGCAAACGCGAUAAGUCCACCGCCUGGGGACUACGGCCGCAAGGUUAAAACUCAAAGGAAUUGACGG
rnacentral:rRNA from 1 species